rnacentral:rRNA from 1 species
GAUGAACGCUGACAGAAUGCUUAACACAUGCAAGUCGAACGAGUGGCGAACGGGUGAGUACCACGUGGGUGAUCUGCCUUGCACUUCGGGAUAAGCUUGGGCAACUGGGUCUAAUACCGGCUAUUGCGCGAUUUGCUCGCGGCCUAUGUGCUUGUUGGUGGGGUAAUGGCUACCAAGGCGCGAAGGGUAGCCGGCCUGAGCGGGUGUACGUCCACAUUGGGACUGAGCUACGGCCCAGACUCCUACGGGAGGCAGCAGUGGGGAAUAUUGCACAAUGGGCGAAAGCCUGAUGGAGCGACGCCGCGUGGGGGAUGAAGGUCUUCGGGUUGUAAAGGACUUUUGUUAGGAAAGCGGUACCUAAAGAAUAAGCAACGGCUAACUACGUGCCAGCAGCCGCGGUAAUUC